rnacentral:rRNA from 1 species
UCGAGAAUUUUUCACAAUGGGGGAAACCCUGAUGGAGCGACGCCGCGUGGAGGAUGAAGGUUUUCGGAUUGUAAACUCCUGUCAUGUGGGAACAAGAAAGUGAUAGUACCACAAGAGGAAGAGACGGCUAACUCUGUGCCAGCAGCCGCGGUAAUACAGAGGUCUCAAGCGUUGUUCGGAUUCAUUGGGCGUAACGGGUGCGCAGGCUGUGGGGUAAGUCGGAUGUGAAAUUUAGAGGCUCAACCUCGUAACUGCAUUCGAUACUGCUCGGCUAGAGGUAUGUAGGGGAGACUGGAAUUCACAGUGUAGCAGUGAAAUGCGUAGAUAUCGGGAGGAAGACCAGUGGCGAAGGCGAAUCUCUGGGCAUUACCUGACGCUCAUGCACGAAGGCCAGGGGAGCAAACG